GCGGAUUCGCUGAUGUAUGCUGAAAUCCGUGAGUCCACGGGCAUGUGUGAUACUGAGCUGAUGGGCUGCCUGCAGUCACUUGUAUCGGUUGAUGGGUCCGCAGGUAUCCUAAGUCUGAAAAGAUAUGACGAAACUGGGUUCUCUGAGAAUGACAUUCUGUCCAUCAACGAGAAGUUCAAUGGCGGACCGGAUCUAUCCCUCAAGCAUGAUUUUGAAAAUGGAAAACUGUCUGGAGCUGUGGAUGAGGCAGCUAGUCACAACAUAGAUACUGCUAUUGGGAGGCUAAUGAAAAGGAAGAAGUCACUUGAUCACGCCACUCUCAUCAAGGAAGUUUCCGCCGAGCUUUGUCCUCGCUUUGUCACGACUCCGGCUGCGAUAAAAAGCCGAAUCGAGCACUUGAUGGGACACAACAGUGAGUUACUGGAAAGGGAUCCCCAUGAUCCGAGUCGUUACUUAUAUAUC
rnacentral:rRNA from 1 species